GACGAACGCUGGCGGCGUGCUUAACACAUGCAAGUCGAACGGUAAGGCUCCAGCUUGCUGGGGUACACGAGUGGCGAACGGGUGAGUAACACGUGGGUGACCUGCCCUGCACUUCGGGAUAAGCCUGGGAAACUGGGUCUAAUACCGGAUAGGACCGCACCGUGAGGGUGUGGUGGAAAGUUUUUUCGGUGUGGGAUGGGCCCGCGGCCUAUCAGCUUGUUGGUGGGGUAAUGGCCUACCAAGGCGGCGACGGGUAGCCGGCCUGAGAGGGUGGACGGCCACAUUGGGACUGAGACACGGCCCAGACUCCUACGGGAGGCAGCAGUGGGGAAUAUUGCACAAUGGGCGGAAGCCUGAUGCAGCGACGCCGCGUGGGGGAUGACGGCCUUCGGGUUGUAAACUCCUUUCACCAUCGACGAAGGGUUUCUGACGGUAGAUGGAGAAGAAGCACCGGCUAACUACGUGCCAGCAGCCGCGGUAAUACGUAGGGUGCGAGCGUUGUCCGGAAUUACUGGGCGUAAAGAGCUCGUAGGUGGUUUGUCGCGUCGUCUGUGAAAUUCCGGGGCUUAACUCCGGGCGUGCAGGCGAUACGGGCAUAACUUGAGUACUGUAGGGGAGACUGGAAUUCCUGGUGUAGCGGUGAAAUGCGCAGAUAUCAGGAGGAACACCGGUGGCGAAGGCGGGUCUCUGGGCAGUAACUGACGCUGAGGAGCGAAAGCAUGGGGAGCGAACAGGAUUAGAUACCCUGGUAGUCCAUGCCGUAAACGGUGGGCGCUAGGUGUGGGUUUCCUUCCACGGGAUCCGUGCCGUAGCUAACGCAUUAAGCGCCCCGCCUGGGGAGUACGGCCGCAAGGCUAAAACUCAAAGGAAUUGACGGGGGCCCGCACAAGCGGCGGAGCAUGUGGAUUAAUUCGAUGCAACGCGAAGAACCUUACCUGGGCUUGACAUAUACAGGAUCGCGCCAGAGAUGGUGUUUCCCUUGUGGCUUGUAUACAGGUGGUGCAUGGUUGUCGUCAGCUCGUGUCGUGAGAUGUUGGGUUAAGUCCCGCAACGAGCGCAACCCUUAUCUUAUGUUGCCAGCACGUUGUGGUGGGGACUCGUAAGAAACUGCCGGGGUUAACUCGGAGGAAGGUGGGGAUGACGUCAAAUCAUCAUGCCCCUUAUGUCCAGGGCUUCACACAUGCUACAAUGGUCGGUACAGUGGGUUGCCAGUCCGUGAGGGCGAGCUAAUCCCGCAAAGCCGGUCUCAGUUCGGAUCGGGGUCUGCAACUCGACCCCGUGAAGUCGGAGUCGCUAGUAAUCGCAGAUCAGCAACGCUGCGGUGAAUACGUUCCCGGGCCU
rnacentral:rRNA from 1 species